CUUCUUCUAAUUCUUCGCGUCCGAGAAGGCUCGAUCUCCUCCAGCUAGGGCCCAAGGACGGGCUUCAGGGGUUAUCCUUGAAGAGAACGAGCCAUGGAGCCCGAGCUUCUUCGAAUUCGUCACGUCUUCUCGAAUUCCUUCGCUUCGGACGCCCUUCUCUCAUUCCGAACAUGGUUUCGUCCAACAACGGGCGAUUCGGGCGAGUUCUUGGAAGAGAGCGAGCCACCGGCCUCGAGCUUCUUGGAGAUCCUGUCGUCUGAGAGGGCGAAGGUCUCCACGCUGGGGUCAGCCUUGGCCCUCUGACAUUCCGAUCGAAUGCCUUCCGCGGCCCAUGGGUGGAUCGAGUCCUUCGCCAGCACGGUCUUGGUAACUUCUUUCCUCCUCUGUUUCAAGAUAAAUGGAAUUAGGGUUUAGGAAUCCUCUGGAAGUUGAGGGGGUCAACAUGAGGCGAACUAUAGUACCAAGAAACAGUGUUACGCUCGACAUGCCUGAUUUGCUUCAUAAAUAUAAUCUUAAUCAUUCACCAAUGCUAUAUAUCAUUUAUAUGAAAUUUCAUGAAUCUCAUGUCCUUGUUAACUUGUUUGUGAUAUUGAACAAUUUUAUCGGAUAAUGAGCAUCUACACAACAAAGAAAAAUUGAUAUGAUUUACUAUUCUUCUAUUCGACUCUUUUUGGUUCAGUGACCAAAGUCUUUCAGCCUGUAAUGUAUGACUUAUUUUGUGUGAUUCUGAACUAAUUUUCUGGGGAUAAUAGUAUAUGUAAUAUCUAUGGCUGUAAUACUUCUAAUUAAUGAAGCCCCUGAUUAUUAUUAUUAUUCCAAAAAUGAAGUUGAUAUGCCAAUGCUCGUCUUUAAAGUUAUUAUUCUUCCUCUGUUCUUUGAGUGUUUAUGCUGAACCUGAAAACUUGUGGACUUUAUUCUAUAUAUUAAGGCUUUCCUUUGCUCCCAAAAUGUUAUAUGGCUAUCGGCUGAUCUUUUUUUCCUUGAUAUCAUCUCGUUUUCUAAACCUGUAUCAGUUUCUUAGUAUCUUCAUAUAUACUUCUUGUGGCCUCAUAUCAUCAUCAACAGUUGCAGUGGAGUUCCAUAUAAUGAUGGCAAGCUAGCUUGACGUAUCCAUACAAUGUCUUAGCCAAGAAGAAGGGUUAUUGAG
rnacentral:lncRNA from 1 species